GCCUGUGAUGCUUUUCAUGCGUGUCAGCUGAGAUCCCCUGAUUAGAACCACCCUUGAGGUUGUAUUAACUGAGGC
ensembl:snoRNA T03F7.8 ncRNA